rnacentral:rRNA from 1 species
AGUGAACGCUGGCGGCGUGCCUAAUACAUGCAAGUCGAACGGAGUGGCGCACGGGUGAGUAAUAUAUAGCUAAUCUGCCCCUUGAGGGAGGUCAACAGUUAGAACUGACUGCUAAUACUCCAUAGCAAGGGAUGAGACUAUAUCGUAUCAGCUAGUCGGUGGGGUAACGGCCUACCGAGGCUAUGACGCGUAACUGGUCUGAGAGGAUGAUCAGUCGCAUUGGAACUGAGACAGGGUCCAAGCGUCUACGGGAGGCAGCAGUAGGGAAUAUUGCGCAAUGGGCGAAACCCUGACGCAGCAACGCGGCGUGGAGGAUGACACUUUGCGGAGCGUACACUCCUUUUGUUAGGGAAGCGGUACCUAACGAAUAAGCACCGGCUAACUCCGUGCCAGCAGCCGCGGUAAUUC